CAAGCAUCUUCAAAGGUCUAUUAUUAAUGGGGCUGUCCAGCUGAAGCUGACAUCCCCACGCAGCCCUCCCAGAGCUCUGCACCUCAGCCAGCCCACAGCCUCCACUGUCUGGCCCUGUCGGCUGAGCGGUGCCCAGCAAGGCGAGAAGGCCAAGUCCUGCCCGCUGGGCCAGGCAGAGGUCACCCGCCGCGCCUGAGCUACCGGUGUGUGAUGAGAGGACUGCCCCACAUCUUCCCUCAUUUCCCAGCUGCCUCAGUUUCCCUUCCUGAGAGAGGCAGGGUUCUGGGAGGUGAGGAGCUGCAGGGACCCAAGAAGGGCAUAGAAGCCGCCUGGGGACACUGGCCCCUCUGUCAGGAUCAAUCGCCCUAAGCCUGUCUGAGGCGCUCCGGGCUUAGGAGCAGCUGUGAAAGCCGCCUUUGUGCCUGGGAGAAUGAGCCACAAGAGGACAGGGGGCCCUGGCCCCGGGAGCCCCUUGGGUCCUGGCUCCUGAGAUCAACGCCAGCAGGGAGGACCCCAGCCUGGCCCCUGCAGCCCACCCAGGCCUGAUGCCCACUUCGUGCCAUGGGAGCAGCCCAGGGGAAGAAGAAAACAUACUCUCCUCAGGCCAGAUUUCAUAGUGAAAAUGAG
rnacentral:lncRNA from 1 species